GCUGGGCAUGGUGGUUCAUGCCUGUAAUCCCAGCACUUUGGGAGGCUGAGUCGGGCGGAUCGUCAGAGGUCAGGAGUUCGAGACUAGCCUGGCCAACAUGGUGAAACCCCGUCUCUA
ensembl:misc_RNA Metazoa_SRP Metazoan signal recognition particle RNA